rnacentral:rRNA from 1 species
UACAGAGGUCUCAAGCGUUGUUCGGAUUCAUUGGGCGUAAAGGGUGCGUAGGCGGCUCGGUAAGUCGGGUGUGAAAUCUCGGAGCUUAACUCCGAAACUGCAUUCGAUACUGCCGUGCUUGAGGACUGGAGAGGAGACUGGAAUUUACGGUGUAGCGGUGAAAUGCGUAGAUAUCGUAAGGAAGACCAGUGGCGAAGGCGGGUCUCUGGACAGUUCCUGACGCUGAGGCACGAAGGUCAGGGGAGCAAAAGGG